UUUCGUGAAGCCGUCAGCUUCUGCGAGGUUUAGUCACCGGAGAAAUUUGAAAGCGGUUGAGCUUAACAUUUCAUCCAGCUAUGGCCAGCGGAAGCCCGAAGACGAGAUGAUCCAACUCAUCCACCACGCCAUCAACUCCGGCGUCACAUUUCUCGACGCCUACGGUCCCCACACCAACGAAAUUCUUAUUGGAAAGUUGAUUGAUCUUGUUUGUUGAUUUUCCGCCGAGUAUUAAUGUUAGAACACUUUUGAGAAGAGCUAAUUCAAGUGAAGAUGUAAUUGUGUAGUUAUGCACUGUGAUUGUGACAAUCUUCAUGAUUAUUGAGCUUAAUUUCGUUGAGGUU